rnacentral:rRNA from 1 species
GACACAGGUAGUCAAGAUGAGAAUUCUAAGGUGAGCGAGCGAACUCUCGUUAAGGAACUCGGCAAAAUGACCCCGUAACUUCGGGAGAAGGGGUGCUCUUUAGGGUGCAAGCCCAGAAGAGCCGCAGGGAAUAGGCCCAAGCGACUGUUUAUCAAAAACACAGGUCUCUGCUAAACCGUAAGGUGAUGUAUAGGGGCUGACGCCUGCCCGGUGCUGGAAGGUUAAGAGGAGU